UCGCGGCUGAGCAGUGGAGUCGCCUGGACCGGGGCAGCCUGCCGGACCUCGGCUGAGGCUUUCCCGCCAGUCCCCUAAGCGCUAGUGCUGCCAGCCGCGGCGGGGCUGCGAGCAGGGGCGCUAACGGUGCCUCCUUUUUCUGGUCCUGGUCGUCUUUUCUGAGAAAUUUUCCUCUCAAAGUCCCCCUGAAGCGCAGAGGACAGCAUAUCCACCGGCAGCGUCCUUCCAGCGUGAAGCCGUGCAGGUUAAUGGCAGCGCAAAAUGAAGUCUGGGAUGGUUUCAGUUCAGCUCACACCACGUGUAUUUAUGAGAAAGAAAGGAAGGUGAGAGCUGCUACGAAAUGGAAGUUCUUGGAAAAGUCUCAGUUGUAAUUUUCCCAAUGGAAUUUUCUUUUUCAGCGCAUAGCUAAGAAAUAGCAAUGAAAAGAGCCCUACAAGUUCUUCUAUUACUCAUAGCAUGUAGACGAGUGGUCCUGAACACCAGGAGAAUCUCAGGACUCUCAAGCAUGCAGGAAUAAAAGGAGAGCUUGGAUUAUUACAGGUCUUUGCAGACACAAAUGCAACGUAUCUUCUCCUGCAACUUUGAAGAGGCUUCAGUUUGGAUGGCAGAAACAUUGGUCUCAGAUCUUGACUGUUCUCCCCAACCAAGUAUUCCACUGUCCCUUCCGCACUAUUUACGCUUCCACUCCCCAGGGGUCCCCGCUCACUUUGGCUGGAAAGGCUGUAGGAAAUCACCAUAAAAGUUGGCAGUCAGCAUCACUUGUGGCAACACUUGCGUCUCCCAAUUUGAUGACAUCUUUUUCUGCACGGCUCAGUGAGAAAACUGAAGAAAUGCUGCCACCAGCACGUACUGUGUGAUGGUGCAUAGGACAGAGAGGUGCAAGCUAACAAGGCCUAGGGCAGCUUCUGCUGUGUCUUUUAGGCCAGUUUCAACACCUGUAGAGCUGCUUACGCUUGGGAACAACCUUUUGUGCCUAUGGUCUGCCUUUCUGUAGUCCCUAAUUGCCACAGUGAUGUUGCUCUCAGAUCUGAGGCCAGAGCUGGAGGCUCUUCCCUGAGCAGUAACGUGCUGCAGUGACUCCUGUAAACAUGUCCCGAGUCUCUGGUGUUGAGUGUAGGCUGCACCUGUGAAUUGCCAUGUUUACUAAAGACAUACUGGGAAGGAGUCCAGCCCUGUAUGUCUCAAGACUGGAUCCAGAGCAAACUUGAUAUGAAGUCCUUGAGGUGCACCGAGACUGUCAGUGUCGUGUGUUCCCCAGCUUGCUGCAAGCCCUGGGCUCCCGUAACCUCUGCUGGAUACCUGUCAGUCCACUCCAUGGCUCCACGAGGGAGUAAAACAAAUAAUGAUUAGAAACCAAGGUGUAAAAUAGUAGUUUUCCCCAUGGCCUGCUGCCUACUGGCUUUCGAGACCUUAAAGCCAGAGGAGCUGAGGAGUUCACAGAGGUAUUUUUUCCUGUAGAACCAGUUUUCUUUCACAGCAAAGCUCCACUUCCAUGUUUUAUUCCUACCAGUAAGAUGAAGCUCUUUUCUCACACGUCUCAUGAACUAGAGAUGCGAUGCCACUUUCAUGUGCGUUGGCAAAGAACACUCGGAUUUGAAUGCUCUCAUACUUCUUUGAUCAGUAAGACUCAGGAAGUGGGUAGGAGAGAUGAGCCAAAGAGAGUAGGGAUACAAGCUGGGGGCAAUCAAGCUGACUAUUUUUUUUUUAGACAAGGCCUUUGCUAUUCUGAAUAGCAAAACUAGCCAUGGUGAAGUGCGUGUGGGAAAUAAACAGGCUGAUUUUCUACCUGGUAUUGGGUGAGGAAACCAAUUUCAGUGUUCUGGAAGAUGACCGGUCAGCCCCAGCCCUGAGCCUCCUCUUCUCCCAGCUGCACAGCAGCAGCUCCCUCAGCCUGCCCCUGUGUGCCAUGUGCCCCGGCCCCUCACCUUGUCAACAGCGCUGGUCUGUCAGUGUCUUUCCUGUCCUGGGGAGACCAGGACGGGCCACAGGAGUCUGCAUGCGGUCUCAAAAGUGCCAAAUAUGAGAGGAGAGUGUUUUUUGGGUUUUUAUUGGGUUUUGUUGGUUUUUUUAAAUUGUUUAUUGGCCAGUCUUGCCAAAACUUCUUCUGUCGGAACUGAAGUCUUCUGCUUCUGCAAAGGAAGAGCUGUCUCCAUGUUGAAUGUUUCCAGGGAUGGGGCAUCGACCUUCUUUGCUGGUCUGUUGCUGUUCUCUGUGCAGUGCCAGGGCAGGUCUGGCUUCAUCUUCACCCACCCAUUCAGUGGCUGAGGCGAGAGCUGGCUGAGAACAGCCACCCCCCUCUGGCUUUCUCAGCCUCAGGCUGACAAAGUGCCACCUUCAGGCCCCAGUAGCCUUGAUGGCGCUUCAGGGGAGUCCAACAGGCUCCGUGGUGUCCAGCAGUCUCUGACGGUGUCAGGCAACGUCCAGUGGUCCCUGGUGGUCUCCAGCGGUGUCCGAUGGUGUCCAGUGGUCUCUGAUGGUCUCUAGCUGUGUCCGGCAGUCCCCAGUGGUGUCCAUUGGUGUCCAGUGGUCUCCGAUGGUCCCUGGUGGUCUCCAGCAGGCCCAAGGGCCUCCUCCUGGUGUGAUGCUGGCCAGGAUAUGGCAGCCCCUCUCCUUGCCUCUUCCCCACGGCUCAGGGCAGAGGAGAUGCCUCCCCUCUAUGAGGGGCAGGGGUGAGGGGUGGGAAAGCAGGGCUCAUCUGGACAGCUGGGCAAUCUUCCUGAUGAGCCUGCUGGAUGUUGGUGUGAAUGGUGCACUUUUAGGGCUAGCAUGGGCUGCAGGCAUGGCUCUGCUUGUUGGGAGCUGGCUGUUUGGAGGGUCCCUGAGAGGCCCUGGCGGUCCUGUGGUACUUUGGACACCAUGGUGGUGUAGUGCCCCAUCAGCCCUGAGGGAGGUGGAUCCACUUCCAUUGGCUUUUCCUGGGGAGGCCAGGAUAGUGACUCCCUGUAUUUUGGGAUGGCCCAGUACUGAGUGCUGGACCCCUGUGGCCACUUUCCUGGCUACUUUGGCUCCGCUGAAAGCAUGGCCUGAAAUAGAUGAUGGGGCAGUGUUUUACCCCCGAGACAAUUGAAACAGCUAUGUGUGGGUUGCCAUGGAAAGUGGCAUCGGAGUCUUCUCACAAGUUAGCAGGAAGGUUGGGAUGGUUAUUAGUUACUGGUCUUAGAGCUCUUGACCGUGAAGUUGUUCCAUUCUGGAGUAAAAUGAGAGAGUUGGAAAGGGAAGUCGUGACUUUACAAGAUGCAAAAGCGAUUGCGCAAGAAGUGAUUAAUAGUCGAGCAGAGCAGUGCCAUGAGCUGCAAGGUAGAGUGGUUGGUAGCAUGUAUUGCUAAUAAAGGAAGCAACAGAUAUGGAAAAAAUAAGGUUUUGAUUUUCCAAGUUCAUGCUCUCACCACAAAACCUUUGUGGGAUUCUGAGGAAUGGGAUCGAAAUAUCUGAAGUGAAUCCUCGGACUCCAAGGUUGAGUUUGAGUCGCAUUCAGAAGGCAGGGAGGUGGUAGAAGCGUGACACCUCAUACAAAUGAAGCAGCGGCAGAAACAAGCAGAUGGGGGAGUACGGGUCAGACGUGCUUACACCCCACAAGAGUUAAGGGAAUUUUUAGAGAUCUAUCAGCAAAAGAGUGGGAAAGGCAUACUGGCAUGGAUUUUGUGAGCUUGGGAUAGUGGAGCUGCAUCUAUUUAUUAAUGAGUGAGAAAGAUAUAUUAAGCCCUAUAGCCAGUGAUGAUCAGAUAUAGCGAAGAUAUGCUCAGCUGCAAAAUACCAGAGAUCCUGAUAGUCAAGAUAUUCUUGCACCUACAUGGUUGUGUGCAGCAGUUUUAACAGUGUAUGCUGAACCUGUUGAAUUAGUGUCGUCCCUCGGAAAUUGGCAUACAAUGGAAGAGACUAUUAAUUUAGCGUGGCAGAUGGGGAUGGCUCAUGCAUUGACUACGGGAUCCAAUCCAGACAGAGUAGCAGUAACAAGAAGUAUCAAAAUGCAACUUUUGAGAGGAGCGCCUGCCUCACUAAAAUCCAUCAUUAUACCAACAGUCAGGAAUGCUACUGGUAACGUGGGUGCCCUGGCAAAUACCUUGAGGGAAAUUGGGGCUGCAACUUCAGGACCGUCUGGUAGAUAAAGAAAAGCUGGCAAAACAAAACCAAGUUACAUCACAGAUGACAAGGAAACAAAUGUGGAAUGAUCUUGUACAAGCGGGCAUCCCACGAUCAGAAAUAAAUGGGAUUACAACAUCAGAAAUGUUUCGCCGAUGGCAAAAGUUAGCACCUAUGCAAAAAAGCCAACUGCCCCUGGCACUGCCACCAACUCCGCGCCCACCCUCAGCCCUGCCUGCCACCUCAAGGCAAGGCACUACCUGGCAAAUGCCAAAACAGCAGAAAUGAAGGUUUGGCAGGUCCCCCAAAAUUGCCGCCACUGUAGCCUCUUACUGUGAGAGGGGCCAACGUCCCUAUGUUCCUUUAACUACAGAGUGGUGGUCUGGAGAGAUUUUAAAUGUGUUAGCUCUGGUGGAUACUGGAGCUGAAGUUACUGUAUUACAUAUUAAUAAUAAAGAAGCCACAUCACAGAUCUGUGGAUUAGGGGGAAAUCUAACCUCUGCUAGAGCUAAGGUUACCUUAACAAUAGGAAAUGCCACUCCA